rnacentral:rRNA from 1 species
UACGAAGGGGACUAGCGUUGUUCGGAAUCACUGGGCGUAAAGCGCACGUAGGCGGAUGUGUCAGUCAGGGGUGAAAUCCCGGGCUCAACCUCGGAACUGCCUUUAAAACUGCAUCGCUUGAAUCCGGGAGAGGUGAGUGGAAUUCCGGAGUGUAGAGGUGAAAUUCGUAGAUAUUCGGAAGAACACCAGUGGCGAAGGCGGCUCACUGGACCGGUAUUGACGCUGAGGUGCGAAAGCGUGGGGAGCAAACAGG